ACAAAUAUCCCCGGCGAAAUGAAGGCAGGAAUGGCAUUUUCAUGGGGUUUUAUGUGGAUGCGGAAUCUUUUGGAGGACAGAAGUAGCAGCUUUGACCUCUCUGAAGCAGUGGACUGCAGAGAAACUCAAAGGCCUUGUGGAGAUCUCUCAAGGUUUGAGACUUUAUCUGAACACAUGCUCAUCUCUGCACAGCACAACUCCACCACGGAUACAAAUUAUUUCGCAAAUUAAAAGCAACUGUGGUUAUAGAUGGAGACCGAUCACGUCCUCCCUGAACAGCCUCAGCCAAAACCUGAAAGGUUCCCACCCCUCCUCUGCUCAUGAACAGAGAGAUCCUGACUUCCCCUGAAGCUCAAAUCAGGAAACGUUUCAAAGGAGUGAAUGACAGGAGUCCCUCCACCCGGUUACCCCGACCGGUCUCUCCCUCAAUCUAAAGGAGGUGAUAUUGUAGCCCUUUUUCUCCCUUUCUGAAAGGGGAAAUCCCUGGGAUUGAGCUUGUGUGCUGGAGCGGAAGCAGGCUGGAAUGUGUGUCCAGGGCCGCGUCUUUUGUCGCCUGCCGGCGCCAUGAAUAGGCACAGGCCGCAAUCUCCCUGUCCUCUUGUUUAUCAGACUGUGAAGAAGUAAACAAACCCAAAUGUUUCUUCUGCAUGUUAUCGGCACCUUAUACCUGUCAAUCACUUCUUUAUUCCCUGUAAACCUGCAGCUUCUGUUUUAAUUAGCAUCCUCUUUGCUGUUCCCCAUUCAUGCUAAAUGUAGCCAAAGAGGACAGAUCAAGGGACUUUAUUCUUAGAUAAGUAAUAUUUCUGAUUUAUUUUCCUAUGUGUAAUCUCUCCAGAUUUAAUAUUGAUCUAGAAAAGUGUCGUGUUGAGUAGAGUUUGUCGUUAUGUUGAUUCUCAUCGUUGCCCGUUAGUGUCAGCUUGCCGCUCUAAACUCGUCCUAUAGACGAGGUCAAAUAGGGGCUUUUCAAACAAAUGGGAAAGCUUUCACGAGAUCCUCAAUUGACAUGAUGGCCGUAUUUCCCCAUCUAUUAUUACGAAUAUAGUGUGAUUUAUUGGAAGAUGUGCAGAAGUUUAAAGGAAGGUCGAGAGCGAGCUGUCAGGACUCUGAGACAUUUUCCGGCUCAUUGGGGACGAAAGCCUCGAUCAGGAUGUUUUUCCUCUGUCGUUGUCUUCUUCAUCGUUACAGCUGUUGGCAUUUUAGUGUGUAUUCACAUCCAUUCCACUGUUCGUAUUUUAGAGCGAUGGAUGUGUUCCUUCCCGCCAGCGCAUGUGAUUCUUUUUAUGAGAGGAUUAUCAGAUUUAUAUGUGUUAAUUGGCAGUAGGCAGCCACAGACACUCCUUUACUGUCUUGUGUAAUUCUCAGAUACAGAGCUAAAAAAAAAGCAAAAAGCUUUUCAAAACAUGAAGGAAGAAAAUUUCACUUUAACACUUUGUCAGCAACUGUAUCAGUUUAGCUUCAUAUGUUGAAGAUCCUGUUUAAGGAGUAAAGAGUAUAAGGGAUUUCAAAGUAAAUGUAACUGAAUAUUCUGAUCAUAAUAAAGCGUUUGACUUUAGAUCA